GAGGGAGAGGAGAGGCGAGUGGAGAGGGAGAGGAGAGGCGAGUGGAGAGGGAGAGGAGAGGCGAGUGGAGAGGGAGAGGAGAGGCGAGAGGAGAGGGAGAGGAGAGAUAGAAAAUAGAGAUAAAAGAGAGAGGAGAGAGAGAGGGAAAGAGAGAGUGAGGGAGAGAGAAAGAGUGAGUAAAAAGAGUGAGAGAAAAAGUGAGAGAAAGAUUGCGAGAGCGUGUGAAAAAGGAGAGAGAGAGAGAGAGGGAAAGAGAGAGGGAGAGCAAGAGUGAGAGAGUAGAGAGAAGAGAGGGAAAGAGAAAGAGAGGGAGAGACAGAGAGACACAGAGGGAUAGAGAGGAAGAAACACUGUGUGUCUGUGUGUUCCACAAUUUGCUACUUCAACAACUAAGGGGCUGCCUUGGGUUCCGCAUCUUUGAGAAGCUCUUACAGAUUUGGUCGAGGAGCAUCAGGCAAAAGCAAUGAGACUGCGGGGUCUCUGUCACACUGUCUCCCCCUUGUCAUUGAACGACAUUGAGCUCGACCUCGGGACCCAGGGGGACAAUAUUCCCGUGGGCUCAACAAAAAAGGGGAGAAACAUUGGGGCUCCGUGGUGGAUCAGACGUACUGGGAUCGAGAUUCACCCUAAAGUCCUUGCAAUACUAUUGCUAUUGCAAGCUUCCCCUCGACAUGGGACCAACAAAGUCCAGCCCACAAUGUCUCCCAAGGCUGUCCCCAACCCUUCCUCCACCACAGGGCCCCAGCGGGGACCGGAAAACGCCAACCCCACCCGCCCACCUAGGAGAAUUGCAAAAGUGCGGCCUCUCUUUGCCCCUCAGUCCACCAGUUCUCCAAAGUGUGCCCCACAAGCCAGGAAGCCCCCGGAAGAAUACUUUAUAUUGCAAGUAUGCCCCUUUUUUGUCCCCCAGCCUGAAAGUCACCCAAACUGUGCCCCACAACCCAGGAAGCCCCAGGAAGACUUUAUGAAGAGUCUGGAUGUAAAGGAAAGGCGGCAAUGUAAAGUACGCCCCUUUUUUGUCCCCCAGCCUGAAAGUCCCCCAAACUGUGCCCCACACUCCCAGACGCCCUAGGGAGAAUGCUCUAGUAAGAGUCAGGGUGUAAAGAAAAGAUGGCAAUACAAAAUACGCCCUGUCUUUGUCCCCCAGCCUGAAAGUUCCCCAAACUGUGCCCCACAACCGCCCUCCCAGACACCCCAGGGAGGUCCUUCUGGACAACAACGCCCCUUUUCGGGUUUCUUUAAAAAUAUAAAUGCUGCAAGAAUCGAGAAGUAAAGAAACCGCUAGAAGAAUCGAGAAGUAAAGAAACCGCUGCAAGAAUCGAGAAGUAUUUCUCCUAUUUCCCCCACAGAUACUACAAAAUUGUGCCUGAGCAAACUUACACAUUAAAAUUAAAAAAAAAAAAAUUGAGCUAGAAUGGGGGUCCUUCAGAUACAGCCCCAAAGAUGGAAAGAAAGCCAUUGGGCUGGGGAUGGACCUGUCUAAAGUACUGAGGACCUCCAGGAUAAAUACACAGAAGAAGUGGGGACCCCUGGCCUAGCUGGGUGUUGGCUGGAGCUUCAGCAAAAACCACACUUUAUCUCCCAGUCAAGUCAACUUGAAGUCUUGACUCCUGGAGCCUGAGUGAAGCUGGGCUGCUUAGGAUGACAGCUGGGUACAGCUGGGCCACUGAGAACCUGAGGAAGUGGCCCUGACAAGAAGGAACCCCACCCUGGUGGGGGCAGAGCCAGAGGCAGGGGGCCGGGAUGCUGCUGGCUGCCAGUGCAGGAGCUGCUGGCUCCUGGUCCACCCAGGAAGGGGGAUGCUCUUGGUUUGUGCUUCCUGGUCGGAGAGUUUGGAGUUUCUGGGCAGAGGGCAGAACUGAAGGGAAGCAUGAGGAACCAUGUCUUCACACCACAAGUAGAGGUCCUUAAACUGAAUUAAAUCUUUUAUAACAAUGCACCAGCUAAGAAGAACCCCACCUUUGAAACAUAUUAUGGAAACAGGGAAGACUAGAGUUCAUCUUCAGAGAAGGACACUAAGCAACAAAGCUUUUACAUCAAAGAGUAACCUGAAAUGGCCCCAAACUCAGAGAAUGUAUACAACUCAAAAAAGAAGUUAAACAUCAAAUGAGAGACACUAGGGAAAAACGAACCAAAAUAAAAAAUUCCAUCCAAGGAAAACCAAAAGUUUAGGAAACAAAAAAGGAAACCAACUUGCAGAGGAGGAACAGAAUCUCAAAGAUGAAAAUAAUUCUUUGAAAAUGAGGGUGGAGCAAUUGCAAGACAGGAAGUUAAGACAAACCAGGAAAUAACAAAAAGGACAGAUUUUAGUGAUUGCAAACAAAUAGAACAAAAUGUGAAACAUCUUAUAAUUUAAAAAACAGAUCUGGAGAACAGAUUUAAGAAGAGAAACUUCAAUUGGACUGCUUGACAAUUGUGACCCAAAAAAAACCCUUGACACAAAAUGCAAGAAAUAAUUUAGGACAAUUGUCCUGGGAGUGGAAGCGCCAAGAUGGCAGAGAAAAGACACGACUUUCUCAGAGCUCUCCCACACAUACCUCAAAUUAACAGCAAAUUGAGCCUUUGAUCCGGUCGUAUGAAGUGACAGAACCCACAAGUAUUUGGAAUGUAACAAAUUGCCAACAGAAGGGGUAAAUUUAAAGAUUUCCAGAAAAGGUCUGUUUCAAUUGGCCACUGUGAGAAGUGGGCCGAGCGCUGGUAGUACAGAUCCCCAGGGUGGUUGGGAUCUAGGCACUAGGGAACCUACCAGUAGGAACCAGUAGGAAGCAGAGUUGGCUUCUCUGUCCUGGUUACAAGCCAGUACAUCAGAUUAUCUGGAAAACAUCCAACACAAAUACAAAAAACAAUUAGUGAGCCGCUAAAUCCCAGAAUAUCCUGGGCCCUGGCCAUGCCCACCUGGCCACCAAAAGUUAGUCAGCAUUGAAGCCAGCACAGCUUGUUAGAGGAAGCUUGGACAAUCUCCCCGUUGUCUGAAAUGGACCUCAACCUUAUUUAAAAAAUAAGCAAAAAGAAUUCUCAGCAUAGAUAGUUUUUAUGGAGAAAGAGAAGAAAUUUCAAACUCUGAGGACACUAAAAGCAGAUCAUCUCCAGAGACCCCAAAGGAUGAUGAUAAGAAUUGGUCCCCAUCUCACAAGCCUGUCUUGGAAGGCUUGGAAGGAUUCAAAAACGGACUUAAAACAGGGAAGAAAUAAUAAAGAAAGGCAAUGAAAAUUUUGCAAGACGGUUUGGAAAAGGAAACAGAAAUUAUCUGAAGAAAAUUCCUUACCAAAUAGAUUGAAUGAAAUGGAAAAAAAAAAAACAUACAACACCUUACAAAAUAGAUUUGACAAAAUGGAAAAAGAAAAUAACUCCUUAAAAAAUAGAGUUUAUGACAUGGAAAAACUGCAUUGAGCAAAACAACUCAUUUAAAAAUUGAAUUGCCCCAAUCCAAAAGGAGCUAAAAAAGGUAGCUGAAGAAAAUCAUUUACUAAACAUCGAGCAAAUGGAAAUGAAUGACUCAAUGAGACAUCAAAAAUCAGUCAUCCAAAAAAAUUGAAAAAAUACAAGAAAGUAAAAUGCCACUGACCUGGAAGAUAGACCUAAGAGAGACAAUCUAAGCAUAUCUGGACUCCCUCAAAAGUAGGAUCAAAAAAGCCUAGACAUCAUCUUUCAGGAAAUCACCAAGAGAAACUGCACUGAUGUCCUAGAACCAGAAGAUAAAAUAACCAUUGAAAGAAUUCACCAGUCAUCUCCUGAAAGAGUUCCCCAAAUGAAAACUCCAUGGAAUACCAUAGCUAAAUUUCAGAAUUAUCGGAUUAAGGAAAAAAUAUUGCAAGUAGCCAGAAAGAAACAAUUCAAUAUCAAGGAACUGCAGUCAGGAUCAUCCUGUGAACAUCAGAACCUUAAAGGAUCGAAGCACCUGGAAUCUGAUAUUCUGAAAGGUAAGAAGAUGAACAUAUGGAUUUCAAUCAUUUCUGAUGAAAAGAGCAGAGCUGAACAAAAAAUUUGACUUGCAAAUACAGAACACAAGAAGCAUCAGAAGAUCGAGACAAAAUAAUAACAAAGUUCAUCUGGAAGAACAAAAUCAAGAAUUACAAGGGAAUUAAUGAAAAAUCGCAAAUGAAGGAAGAAAUCAGAUCCCAAGAUACAAAGCACGACAAAGGAGGAAAACAGGAUUCUGUAUGUGACGGGGAGCUAGACCCCAGACUCAAAUUGGCUACUCAGAGACAUCUCCAGAUACAACCAGAAAGCAUGGAUUCUCAUGGUCUGGGUCCCCAGGCCGGAAAGAGGGGAUGGACGAACUAGCAAAGACUCGGGUUCAUUGGAUGGACUGAAAAGGAAGUAACCAUUGACCCAUGAUCAGCAAUGCUGUCCAGGUCCUGUGACUUGCUGAAGCUUAGACCAGGAUCCUGUCUGAACUCUUCUGCCCUAUAUUGCUCUGAGAAUAGGGAUCAUGUGACUCCCAGAAACUUAGGUCUAGGGUCUGACCUUUUCUGCCCCAGAGUCCUCUAGGACUAGAGAUCCCCCGAUUCCCUGAACCUCAGCCCUAGCUUCGACAGCCUCUGAGAAUCUGCCCUCCGCCCCCCGCCCUCCAGCCCAUUCAGGCCCUCUUUAUUUCAGACCUUGGAAGUUCUCUCCCCCCAGUCCGGAUGCUUUUCUCCCACCAGGACAUGUUACUUAGGCCUUCAGGCUGAUUCCCUCCCCUCCCUCCCUCCCUGUCCCCCCAGGAUCCAGGUAACUACCCUCUCCCCUUCAGAACUCGCCCCGCCCAUCCGUGGGAGCUUUCAGGAACCACUUCACUAAGAGAUCUUGGCCCACUCUAGUGCUUAAGUGCAUGAGCCAGAGGAUGGUAGGAUAAGGCUGUUUAAGGCAAGGAGCAGGAGUCAGAGACCCCAUGCCCUGCUCCCAUCCCCCUCCCCCUUCUUGGAAACCCUGUCAUCACCGACCCACAAUUGGCGUCUGGCUGCCGGUGUCAUCCACAGAACUCCAGCACUGUCCAGGCCCGGAGGCCUCAGGGCCGUUAUCCCACCUCAAGCAGGACAGAUGGAGUCUUCUGGGCCAAAGGGACACAGGUCUCCCCUUGAGAAGCUGCUGCAGGCUGGCGAGGGGCGAGGACACUGGAGCCCUGCCCAGCGGGGGUCGGACUGAGAAGAGACCCGGGACUUGGACGUGACGUCAGCAGCAGGAGCCGCCGAGUGUCCGAAUCAGUGAUUUCUGGUUGACCAGUACUUGGAAUUUCAGGGCCUGGAGUCUGGAAGAAACAACUCACAAGUAGAUUAGCGAUGCAAGGCCUGAAUAUGAGGGGGGAAAAUGGAGUUAAUAUGGGGGUUACAGGGACAGAAACCAGAGUCCCCUCCCACAUGAAGACUGGUUGGGGGGAACGAUGAGGCUCUCAUGAAUGUCUCUCAUCCAGACAGAUUUUCCUAGAAUAAAUAGCAAAAAGUA